rnacentral:rRNA from 1 species
GACGAACGCUGGCGGCGUGCUUAACACAUGCAAGUCGAACGGAAAGGCCCUGCUUUUGUGGGGUGCUCGAGUGGCGAACGGGUGAGUAACACGUGAGUAACCUGCCCUUGACUUUGGGAUAACUUCAGGAAACUGGGGCUAAUACCGGAUAGGAGCUCCUGCUGCAUGGUGGGGGUUGGAAAGUUUCGGCGGUUGGGGAUGGACUCGCGACUUAUCAGCUUGUUGGUGGGGUAGUGGCUUACCAAGGCUUUGACGGGUAGCCGGCCUGAGAGGGUGACCGGCCACAUUGGGACUGAGAUACGGCCCAGACUCCUACGGGAGGCAGCAGUGGGGAAUAUUGCACAAUGGGCGGAAGCCUGAUGCAGCAACGCCGCGUGCGGGAUGACGGCCUUCGGGUUGUAAACCGCUUUCGCCUGUGACGAAGCGCGAGUGACGGUAAUGGGUAAAGAAGCACCGGCUAACUACGUG